UAGGGAAUAUUGGGCAAUGGGCGGAAGCCUGACCCAGCCACGCCGCGUGCAGGAAGACGGCCCUCUGGGUUGUAAACUGCUUUUAACUGGGAAGAAAAGAGGCCUUGCGAGGCAAGUUGACGGUACCAGUUGAAUAAGCCACGGCUAACUACGUGCCAGCAGCCGCGGUAAUACGUAGGUGGCAAGCGUUAUCCGGAUUUAUUGGGUUUAAAGGGAGCGUAGGCGGCUGAUUAAGUCAGCGGUGAAAGGUAGCAGCUUAACUGUUUUACAUGCCGUUGAUACUGGUUAGCUUGAGUUGACAGAAGGCAGAUAGAAUUCCUGAUGUAGCGGUGAAAUGCUUAGAUAUCAGGAGGAAUACCGAUUGCGAAGGCAGUCUGCUGCAGUCACACUGACGCUGAGGCUCGAAGGUGCGGGGAUCAAACAGG
rnacentral:rRNA from 1 species